rnacentral:misc_RNA from 1 species
AUGAUUGCGAAUGGUUACCUUUGGUGCUGGCUCUUGCGAGCAAGUGCACGUUGGUGGCUUUCAUCCACUACCCUUGUGAACCUUUGGCCUCUUGCUAGCUUUGGCUGGCAGAGGAUUUUUACACACACACUCGAAUGUAAUGAAAACGUUUGUCGUGCGCAAGCACUAAUGUA